rnacentral:rRNA from 1 species
UGCAAGUCGAACGGAGUUAUUUUGGAAAGUCCUUCGGGACUGGAAUUCUUAACUUAGUGGCGGACGGGUGAGUAACGCGUGAGCAAUCUGCCUUUAGGAGGGGGAUAACAGUCGGAAACGGCUGCUAAUACCGCAUAAUGCAUCAAUUUCGCAUGUUAUUGAUGCCAAAGGAGCAAUCCGCCUUUAGAUGAGCUCGCGUCUGAUUAGCUAGUUGGCGGGGUAACGGCCCACCAAGGCGACGAUCAGUAGCCGGACUGAGAGGUUGAACGGCCACAUUGGGACUGAGACACGGCCCAGACUCCUACGGGAGGCAGCAGUGGGGAAUAUUGCGCAAUGGGGGCAACCCUGACGCAGCAACGCCGCGUGAUUGAAGAAGGCCUUCGGGUUGUAAAGAUCUUUAAUCAGGGACGAAAUUUGACGGUACCUGAAGAAUAAGCUCCGGCUAACUACGUGCCAGCAG